rnacentral:rRNA from 1 species
GGGGGGCUAUACAUGCAGUCGAGCGAAUGAAUUAAGAGCUUGCUCUUAUGAAGUUAGCGGCGGACGGGUGAGUAACACGUGGGUAACCUGCCCAUAAGACUGGGAUAACUCCGGGAAACCGGGGCUAAUACCGGAUAACAUUUUGAACUGCAUGGUUCGAAAUUGAAAGGCGGCUUCGGCUGUCACUUAUGGAUGGACCCGCGUCGCAUUAGCUAGUUGGUGAGGUAACGGCUCACCAAGGCAACGAUGCGUAGCCGACCUGAGAGGGUGAUCGGCCACACUGGGACUGAGACACGGCCCAGACUCCUACGGGAGGCAGCAGUAGGGAAUCUUCCGCAAUGGACGAAAGUCUGACGGAGCAACGCCGCGUGAGUGAUGAAGGCUUUCGGGUCGUAAAACUCUGUUGUUAGGGAAGAACAAGUGCUAGUUGAAUAAGCUGGCACCUUGACGGUACCUAACCAGAAAGCCACGGCUAACUACGUGCCAGCAGCCGCGGUAAUACGUAGGUGGCAAGCGUUAUCCGGAAUUAUUGGGCGUAAAGCGCGCGCAGGUGGUUUCUUAAGUCUGAUGUGAAAGCCCACGGCUCAACCGUGGAGGGUCAUUGGAAACUGGGAGACUUGAGUGCAGAAGAGGAAAGUGGAAUUCCAUGUGUAGCGGUGAAAUGCGUAGAGAUAUGGAGGAACACCAGUGGCGAAGGCGACUUUCUGGUCUGUAACUGACACUGAGGCGCGAAAGCGUGGGGAGCAAACAGGAUUAAAG